rnacentral:rRNA from 1 species
UACAGAGGGGGCAAGCGUUGUUCGGAAUUACUGGGCGUAAAGGGCGCGUAGGCGGCCUGUUAAGUCGAACGUGAAAUCCCCGGGCUCAACCCGGGAACUGCGUCCGAUACUGGCAGGCUUGAAUCCGGGAGAGGGAUGCGGAAUUCCAGGUGUAGCGGUGAAAUGCGUAGAUAUCUGGAGGAACACCGGUGGCGAAGGCGGCAUCCUGGACCGACACUGACGCUGAGGAGCGAAAGCCAGGGGAGCAAACAGG